rnacentral:lncRNA from 1 species
UUUCACAUAAUUGUUUCUUGUGAAAUUGAUAUAUUUAUUUCAUUUUGGAGUUGACACAUUGGACUCGUACUUGUACUCUUUGAAUGAGGUUAUCAUGUCUAAUAUUUAUUUUGAUAAUUGUAGAGCGGUACAUGUUGCUACCUUCUUUUUGAAACCUUGUGACUAUAAUUUGAUUUGGUUCAACAUGUACAUAUAGAACCC